rnacentral:rRNA from 1 species
UACGUAGGGUGCGAGCGUUGUCCGGAAUUAUUGGGCGUAAAGAGCUUGUAGGCGGUCUGUCGCGUCUGCUGUGAAAAUCCGGGGCUCAACUCCGGACUUGCAGUGGGUACGGGCAGACUAGAGUGUGGUAGGGGAGACUGGAAUUCCUGGUGUAGCGGUGAAAUGCGCAGAUAUCAGGAGGAACACCGGUGGCGAAGGCGGUGGUCUGGGCCGGCACUGACGCUGAGGAGCGAAAGCGUGGGUAGCAAACAGG